GCGACGCCAACGGUAUGCUCACGUGAAUUUUAUUUUCCAAGUGACGUCAUAAUGGCUGCCAAGUGAUGGCUAAAGCUGUGUUUAGUUUUGUGCAGUUUACAAGAUGGUGGGUAGUCUAUAGCUCUAAGAAGCAAACUCAAACUUGAAGCAAAAAGGUAUAGAAUCAAUUGGUUAGUUUUCAGUCUGAAAUGUAAGUAUAUUUUGCUUGUUAUUGUCGCUGUUUGGAAAAUGGUGUACACUAUCUAGGUAUAUAAUAGUACUGGGACUGGCCAGAACAGCUCAGAAUUAGAUUCCACACUCAGGAUCAUCAAUCAAGUCAUUUUACCUCAAUAGAAUUGUUUGAAAUCCUUUUAGAGCUAGAUUUUAUACUUGUCAUUAUAGUCAUAUUAUGUGCCAUUGACUUUCAGAGACCACAGCAUCCUUAUUUCUUGCUGGAACAACUUUAAACUUCUGGAGUAUAUUCUUCUAGCUACUAUCUUGUUGUAAGCAAAUGGACAAGAAGCUGGAGUUGUCUAGAACAAUGUACGCAUCCGUUAAAUUGAAGGACAUCAGUUGCUUGCAGUUCUGUUAUAGUUUAUUUAAACUGGUUGAUAUUUUUUAUGAUGAUAAAUAUGUAUGUUCUGUGUAUUGUAUGCAAAUUUCAUAGUAAAACUAUUAAAUGAAAAAUAAA